GAUGAACGCUAGCGGCAGGCCUAACACAUGCAAGUCGAGGGGGAGCACUGAAACAGCAAUGUUUUGGUGGCGACCGGCGGACGGGUGCGUACCGCGUAUGCAACCUACCUUUAACAGGGGGAUAACGGAGAGAAAUUUCCACUAAUACCCCAUAACAUCGAUCAAGGCAUCUUGAUUGGUUGACAACUUCGGUGGUCAACGAUGGGCAUGCGUUGUAUUAGGUAGUUGGUGGGGUAAUGGCUCACCAAGCCUACGAUACAUAGGGAGACUGGGAGGUUAGCCCCCCACACUGUGACGGAGACACGGACCAGACUCCUACGGGAGGCAGCAGUGAGGAAUAUUGGUCAAUGGGGGCAACCCUUAACCAGCCAGGCCGCGUGCAGGAAGACGGCUCUAUGAGUUGUAAACUGCUUUUAAACAGGGAUAAAGCACAGUAUGUAUGAUGUGUUGAAGGUACUGUAAGAAUAAGGAUCGGCUAACUCCGUGCCAGCAGCCGCCGUAA
rnacentral:rRNA from 1 species